CUGAAUUUAUCCCUAACUAAAAAUUUGAGCUUUUUUUCUUACCUAUUAAUUAAAUCCAUAAAUUUAAAAGCAAUACACCAAACUAUUAAACAACUUGGUAUUCCAUAAGGUCAAAAUAAUUUAUAAGAUAGUCCGAACAGAAAAUUUUAGCUUUUUUAAUCCUUAAUUAAAUCCUUAAAGUUGACAGAAAUGAACCAAGCUACCAGUUUUUGAGUGCCCGCAAAAGAAAUUUCUUACACACCGAUAAAAUGGAUAAAAAAUUUUCCUAUAAAAUAUGUUCUGGCCCAUCCACUAAAUAUUUUAAAAAAAGUUCUCGCCCAUCCAAAUAUUUCCACAAAAAAAGUGCUUGCCCCGCCCCAUUUUGCCCCGGCCCAGCCAUCUGAUAAAUAUUGAACGGUCCCUAAGAACAUAAAAUACAUGUAACAGUAUUUUAUGUAAAACGUUAGGUACCUGUUUCUAUGCAGUUGUAUAGGUACAUUCGGAGCCAAAAAAUAAGAAAAAAAGGCACAACAUUGAAAUGUCACCUUAAUAAAUAUAAAAGUCAGAAGAAAGAUUAAAAGUUUCAUACAAUACCACAAAAAAAAAACAGUCAAGUAUACAAUUAUUGUGAAGUGUGAAUUUAUGUACUAAAAGUGCAAUCGGAUCAGAUUCACAUCAGAAUUUUUGUUUUUUGCAAUAUUUUAUAGUAAAAAACGCUCGUAAACCAGGUGUGGAAGAAUAAAGUAUUUACACGUCAGCCUAACGAUCACUAAAGUAAGCUUAAAACCUUUAAUAAUUUGACUUUAAUGUUUUCUAUAUAUAUAUAUAUAUAUCAGCAACAAACAAAUUGGUUUAUCAUAGUUUUUUUUUAAUUUACAGUCUUGUCACUAUUUAGUUGUUACAUGUUUUAUGACAGACUGAGGUUAAUUUUGCAUUUAGAUGAUUGAGUAAUAAAAAAAUAAAGUGUACGAAGACACCAUGUUAUCGUGUCUCCCAAAAGGCAGGAAGCUGUUGAGUGCUUGUCACCUCUUAAAAUAUUUUGUCGUUAUAACUGUGUUUAAUUCAUUACUAUCUUAUAUAGACCUCGUUUUACUUAAUACGAUUUAGUCGUUAAUCUAUUGUGUUCUCACUUAUCCAUGAUCUUAUUGGUUUUGUUCUUUGAAUGCUGUUAAAAUUAGUUACUCUAAUUUUUGUGCUAUUUUCACAUUUCCUGACCGGUGUGAGAAAAAUAUUUCUCCUCACUAGUGAAAA
rnacentral:lncRNA from 1 species